AAGUCGUAACAAGGUUUCCGUAGGUGAACCUGCGGAAGGAUCAUUAUCAAACAUGGAAUAUCUUAUUCUUAAACCCACUCUGAGUACCUGUACUUGUUGCUUCCGUGGGCAGUGAACAGUAUGUUUGCGCCUGCCCAUAUGGUGGACCCAUGGGAGAUAUCAUUAAACCCUUCAUUUCGUGAUGCCAGUCUGAUCAUGUUUAUUCAUUAAACGUUAAAACUUUCAACAACGGAUCUCUUGGUUCUCGCAUCGAUGAAGAACGCAGCGAAAUGCGAUAAGUAGUGUGAAUUGCAGAAUUCCGUGAAUCAUCGAAUCUUUGAACGCACAUCGCGCCUCCUGGCGUUCCGGGAGGCAUGCCUGUUCGAGCGUCAUAAAAAAAACCUCAAGCUUGAAUUCAUUCAUGACUUGGUAUUGGUAUUGGGGUGGACUCGAGCCAUUCCUAUCCGAAAUUCAAUGGCAAGGUUGUCUGUACCAACAAGUGUAGUAAUCGACAUUAUGUUUCACCGUUGUACAGAUCAACAUUCGCCGUUAACCCCUCAUUUAAAGUGUUUGACCUCGGAUCAGGCAGGGAUACCCGCUGAACUUAAGCAUAUCAAUAAGCGGAGGAAAAGAAACCAACAGGGAUUGCCUUAGUAACUGCGAGUGAAGCGGCAAAAGCUCAAAUUUUAAAUCUGGCAUCUUCGGUGUCCGAGUUGUAAUUUGGAGAGAUAUCUUCGGUUUGAACGCCGUCCGAAGUUCCUUGGAACAGGACGUCACAGAGGGUGAGAAUCCCGUAUGUGGAUGGCUGUUUCUUUCCAUGUGAAGUGUCUUCGACGAGUCGAGUUGUUUGGGAAUGCAGCUCAAAAUGGGUGGUAAAUGUCAUCUAAAGCUAAAUAUUGGCGAGAGACCGAUAGCGCACAAGUAGAGUGAUCGAAAGAUGAAAAGCACUUUGAAAAGAGAGUUAAAAAGUACGUGAAAUUGUUGAAAGGGAAGCGCUUGAGACCAGACUCAAUCUGUGGUGAUCAACAGUGCUUUUGUACUGUGCACUUGCCACUGUUUGGGACAGCAUCGGUUUGGAUGACGGGAUAAAGACCUGAGGAACGUAGCUCUCUUCGGGGAGUGUUAUAGCCACAGGUGUAAUGCUGUCAAUCCAGACCGAGGACCGCGCUUCUGCUAGGAUGCUGUCAUAAUGGUCUUCAGCGACC
rnacentral:rRNA from 1 species